rnacentral:rRNA from 1 species
GGAAUCUUGCACAAUGGGCGAAAGCCUGAUGCAGCGACGCCGCGUGGGGGAUGAAGGCCUUAGGGUCGUAAACCCCUUUCAGCAGGGACGAAAAUGACGGUACCUGCAGAAGAAGCCCCGGCCAACUACGUGCCAGCAGCCGCGGUAAGACGUAGGGGGCGAGCGUUGUCCGGAUUUAUUGGGCGUAAAGAGCUCGUAGGCGGUUGCGUAAGUCGGAUGUGAAAACUCAGGGCUCAACCCUGAGACGCCAUCCGAUACUGCGCUGACUUGAAUCCAGUAGGGGAGUGUGGAAUUCCUGGUGUAGCGGUGAAAUGCGCAGAUAUCAGGAGGAACACCCAUGGCGAAGGCAGCACUCUGGGCUGGUAUUGACGCUGAGGAGCGAAAGCAUGGGUAGCGAACAGGAUUAGAUACCCUCGUAGUCCCUGAGCGGGCUGGCAAGGCGCAU